AGUGAACGCUGGCGGUAGGCCUAACACAUGCAAGUCGAACGGCAGCACAGUAAGAGCUUGCUCUUACGGGUGGCGAGUGGCGGACGGGUGAGGAAUACAUCGGAAUCUACUUUUUCGUGGGGGAUAACGUAGGGAAACUUACGCUAAUACCGCAUACGACCUACGGGUGAAAGCAGGGGAUCUUCGGACCUUGCGCGAUUGAAUGAGCCGAUGUCGGAUUAGCUAGUUGGCGGGGUAAAGGCCCACCAAGGCGACGAUCCGUAGCUGGUCUGAGAGGAUGAUCAGCCACACUGGAACUGAGACCCGGCCCAGACUCCUACGGGAGGCAGCAGUGGGGAAUAUUGGACAAUGGGCGCAAGCCUGAUCCAGCCAUACCGCGUGGGUGAAGAAGGCCUUCGGGUUGUAAAGCCCUUUUGUUGGGAAAGAAAAGCAGCAGGUUAAUACCCCGCUGUUCUGACGGUACCCAAAGAAUAAGCACCGGCUAACUUCGU
rnacentral:rRNA from 1 species